UUUGUCAAUCAAGAAAUAAGAGGUGCUAAAUAGGGACCUGUGGUCCCUGCUUCUCAAUGAAGUCUUCGUUCAGAGCAACGUUGGCUGUGGUAGGCUGUUCAGGUCUCUGUGAAACAUUUUUGUAACCAAACCAGCUUAUUUUAGGCUGUAAUAUUGUGAGACUCUCACUGCAAAAGCUGGAAGUCUUCGGUAAAGUGACUGCAAGGAAGCUGAUCUAUCACUCGACUGCUUGUGGGAGUGAACUGAUGUGAAAAGAUUGCUCUGCCGCUUUGAAAGACAGUGCUAAAAGCUGAGGUGUGUAUGGGCAUUACUGCUUUGAACCCAGUAUGAUAGCAAAGAUAUAGAAAAUGGGUGCAAAUCCUUGAACCUUGCAGAAGUGUCCAGGCUUAUCUACCUUUGGGCUUUUUGAAUACUUGCAUUACCAUAGACAGAGCUACUUGUGCAUAAAUGCAACUUUGCUGAACUGUGUGAAAUCAGAAUCAAGUCUGCGGUUUGUGUUUGCCUUGCAGCCAGCUUUCUGAGCGGUGAUGGAAAUAGGAAUCUGCUUACGCCUCUUGGACUGGGUGAGGGAAAUCGGAUAAGGCAUCGUGAACUUUAUUGUAGCUGGAGAUGAAAAUUUAAAGCUCAACUGAACUGCAAAAUUAUAGCAACAACUGUUUGGGAAACUUGGAUGUGAUCACAACAUUUUUUGUGUGUCUGUUCCCGGUGCCACUGUGCAGUGGAUUUGUACUGUUACAUCUUCCGACUUCUUUCUUCUAUUGCUCUGAUCUUUUUUACAGCACUGUUGAAAGAAAAACAAACACGUUUCAAAUGCCGCUUGGAUUUCUUCCCAGAAAAUGACUAAAUCUUCUCAAGUGAGAACUCCAUCACUAGAUAGUUAUUGAUUCCUGAGCUCUGACGUUGAAGGGUAUUGGUAAGCCCUGGAGUGACAGCUGGAAUAUUGCGCUGCCUCCGGCCCCUCCAGAGCAGCAUCCUUUCAUGUGAGCAGCUAUCGGGAGCAGUGACUGCUAGUCUGUGUGUUGAUAGAAAAAAAGGCAGAAGAUCCCACAGCCACCACACUGGUAUCAGUGCAAAUGCGAUGAGCAAAAUCCGUUUUUAAAAUGAUCGCCUCCUGUACGAGCAUCCUUCAGUUUCACCAUCUGAGUGAGCUGGCUGGUGUUUGUUCUGGUAUCCGCAGGCACAAUCUGUGCUACCCCCGAAUAUCAUUAUAAUGCAACUGUGUUUUGUGCUCAGGCACCCAAAGAGCUCGUGGCUGAAUGUGCUUCAUCCUGGGAGAGAAGAAGUCAUGUUCAGCUUGCUGUGAGAGCUCCUUGCCCAAGUGAGACUUGCUGUGUGUGGCUGCUCGGGCACGUGGCUGUACCAGCUUCUUAAACUUCUUGGCUGCUUGAAAAGAAUAGUGUAGUCCAUCCUGGUAAAGCGUUGUCCAGAGAGCAGGAAACAAUUUUACCUUUCUUCCUGCUACGAGGCUCGCUACCACGCUGGAAUACUUGAAAUAAAUUGUUGGCAUUAAAAUGUUGUGUAUUCCUUACCCCGUGUUUCUUUAGCUCGAAGCCAAGAGGACACUCGUUACACCGGAGAGCAGCAAAGGGACUGCGAUUGCUCACGGGAACGUUUCCACCCCUGCAACAAGGACGGGGUUGGCGCAGCGGGGAAGGAGAGGUGCGGGUGUUGGGUCCUGCUGGAGGUCUGGCGGCUCCUCGGGCAGGUUGGAAGGGAGGACAGAACGGUUGCCAAAGAGAUGACAUUGCUGAGAGCGUGUCUGAUCUGUGAUGGAAAGAGAGGAAAAGACAGAUGACCAGCGGGCCGUGAGCUGGACAAAGAAAGGCCGCUACUGGAGCUCUGUCAGGACAAACGGGUAAACAGCCGCUGCUUGUUACCUUAUUUUUGCCGCAGCAUUUCAGUUUUCCAAUUUGUUGAAUUUGUUUUAUGAUAAAGCAAGCACGCUCUGUCGACGUAGCCAAAUUCUGCCGUAACAGCCUCGCUUUUCAUGCUCUGCCCUUUUACAACAGCAUAAAUUCUCUUCUAGACCCUGUCUGGAGAGAACUGACAACAGGUUUAAAGGGGCCUCAUUCUUCAGAUCACCAGAUCCUGGACUUUUUGGAGUCCCAUCCUAGUUUUCUGGAUAGAGCACUGUAUCAGGGAACAUAUGUUUUUUCCUUUUUUUUUUUUCUCUAGCCAGCAACUGCAGCCUGAGGCUUACUGGCUGCUAUCUGCCUGCAGCUCGUUAGUGUAUUCUGAAGCACAUCAGUGCCUCAAAAAGGGGUUAGAAGUGUCCUGGGUACAGGAGGUGCUAGAGCAAGAGCGAUCGUGUGAGCCCCCGAGGGCCAGGCCCGUGGCCUCCUGCUCCCUCAGCCCUCGGGGACAUCGUAUGUGAGCUGUGCCCCGCGCCGCAAUGACGCGGAGCUUGCAUGCAGUGUACGGCCCAGCCAACCAGCCAAGCUUCCUUCACAACUUUAUUUCACAACCGUACAAUUUCUUUACAUAUUCCCAUUGCCUACAGGAAAUCUCUUUUCCCCAAGUAAUGUGUUAAUAACUAUCAUGUGCAUUGUCUUUGUUUCUUUUUUGUACAGCUUCGGCUUCAUAUUAAUUUUUGAACCACAAUAAAAUAGGACUUCUAAUCUCUGCACUAAUACAAAGUAGUAAUUUUAUCCAAUAUUUAUAGUAAUCCCAUU